GAUGAAGAACGUAGCGAAAUGCGAUAAGUAAUGUGAAUUGCAGAAUUCAGUGAAUCAUCGAAUCUUUGAACGCACAUUGCGCCCCUUGGUAUUCCGAGGGGCAUGCCUGUUCGAGCGUCAUUAUAACCCCUCAAGCUCAGCUUGGUGUUGGGGCCUGCUGCACUGGCAGCCCUUAAAAUCAGUGGCGGCGCCAUCUGGCUCUAAGCGUAGUAAUUCUUCUCGCUAUGGAGUCCUGGUGGAUGCUUGCCAUCAACCCCCAAUUUUUCUAUGGUUGACCUCGGAUCAGGUAGGGAUACCCGCUGAACUUAAGCAUAUCAAAAGCGGAGGA
rnacentral:misc_RNA from 1 species